rnacentral:lncRNA from 1 species
CAUUUGUUUCCGAGACGCUGACUGAAAGUGUAUUGUAUUCCAAAUUCAAUUCAUUGCGGAAUUGAGGUGUCGGAUCUACAUUUUCAGCCAAAUGUAAUUGGCUAUCUGGCAUACACUUGGCCAAAUGUGAUGACGGGUCGAAACUGCUGUCCAUUCUCGGCAUUUUGUCGAAAAGUCGACCAUUGUUAGCUGUAUGUCUCAUGUCGUGCAGAAACACUUCAGAGCUAGUAAAUUGAUUUUCAGGUCGGAGAUGGAGAUCCCUUUGCUCAACUGUUGCAGAAAUUGAGAACAUGACAAAGUCUGAGCUUCUCAGCUUCAAGGAUGUUGUAUCUUCAAUGUGGUUUUGUUGCAGCCAGCUGGAGUUCAUGGUUACUGGUUAGUUUGAGCUGUUUGGUGUACAGUGGUUUUGCAGUCCCUUUCCAGCAGUUGAGAGAUGCUCUGAAAUGGAGCUUGUGCAGACUUGCAGUUCAACAUCACACUUAAAUGUGUCAUUUGUCUAUGUUAGUGUCCAUGCAGUAUAUGCAUUGUUGAACAGUUGGUUAAAAUAGUCUAUGCUGCCUGAUGGCUGUCGGUCUUAUUUUAUCGGUUGCAUUUGGUGAUAAUCGUCUCUUGCUACCUGUACCGGCGUUGAGUUGAAUCGUUUGCUGCCGUUCCAUAGACUUGAUCCAUUGAUAAAACUGAGGAGAGGUUGCUGAAAUUCAAGACUCGUCAAUAAAUUAUGUAGAUGUAGACAAAUUACAGGUGCAUAUCUGGGCUCCCUUCUUCAGUGGCCCCGUUUCCCUAAAUAACCACUAACCAACGCCCGCCGGCGGUCACUCACUCGCUGCGACAACCAGGAGGAAGGGAGAUGUUUGGUCGAACGGGGACUUGCAAGGCGCAUGAUUCGAUAAAAUCUGUUGAAGGGUCAUGAGUCUAAGCCGGAAGCCUACUAUGUUGCAUUGCUCUCAUAAUAACUGCUCUUCAGCUCUCUUCGCUCUUUUUCCGGGUUCUCUAAACCACGGCCGGGUAAUCUCCCUGGUAGAGUCAGUCGGGCAGUGUCUCCCCCUGCUUGACUGGCUGCAGUUUUUACCGGACGGUUUGUUUAAUAAAUAAAACAAGUAUAAAAAACCAUAUAAUGUUUUCAUUUUAUAAAUUGUUAUUCAUUAAUUAAAUAUGUAUAGAUAACAACUUGAUUAACAAGCAUAUUUAUACAACAUUGUUUAUUAAACAGACCGUCCGGUACAAACUCUUAGUUAGUACUAUUGCUCAAAAACUGAUUCUCUUGAAUCAGCAGACUCGACAGUUUAUAGCGCCGUCAAGAAGCUGUGUUGUGUUUGUUGAUCGUCUCCACCAUGCACGCGAUAAUCAAGACCAGCAAGCAGCAACGUCUUGAUCAAGAAGAAGAAAAGAACGGAGAAGCAAAGAACGACGAUGUAAAUAGUGGGUUUUCCAUACUGGUACGCUGUAUGACGUCGAGCAUUGCCAAAAUGGAAGUGCUCUUUGAAGAACUGAGCGUCUAAAUCUUCUUCAGUCAGAUGAAGCUAACGGAUUCGGAAAUCGUCGAAGAAGCAGAGGACAUCACAGCUGGAAAAAAAACGCGAGUCAAACUCCUGUAGUUAAGUUCUGCAGCUACUCUCAAAAUAUUUUGUCUUGUUUGCUCGUGUUGAUUGUAGACUGCUUUUAAAUUAUCUAUCAGUGAAGCCCUAAUAAGAGGUCCAAGAGAAAUUUAUUCGGGUCAACUGAUACCAUACCACGUACUAAAUCGUUAAUGGUUUUCAGGUAAAAUAUAACCAUGAGAAUAUGGGGUCGCAGAAAUAGAUGUCAACUGGUGGAAAAUAAGAAGGUGAUACGGUAUUUUUCUUUUCUUUUUUAAAAAUACUGUCUGAUUUUUAAAGAUUUGGUGAGGAACAUCCAAUCUGUCGAUCGCGGUCGCUAACCAAUUGGUAGAAAAACAGCACCAAUAAUGGUCGAACUCGGAUGUGCUUUUUCGAGAUUUUAACACAAAUUGCAUUUUAUACAUA